rnacentral:rRNA from 1 species
GAUGGGCAUGCGUCCAAUUAGUUAGUUGGUGAGGUAAUGGCUCACCAAGACGAUGAUUGGUAGGGGAUCUGAGAGGAUAAUCCCCCACACUGGCACUGAGAUACGGGCCAGACUCCUACGGGAGGCAGCAGUAGGGAAUAUUGGGCAAUGGACGGAAGUCUGACCCAGCCAUGCCGCGUGCAGGAUGAAGGCGUUAUGCGUUGUAAACUGCUUUUUUAUAGGAAGAAGAAGCCCUUGCGAGGGAAAGUGACGGUACUAUAAGAAUAAGCACCGGCUAACUCCGUGCCAGCCGCCGCGGUAAAAC